GACGAACGCUGGCGGCGUGCUUAACACAUGCAAGUCGAGCGGAAAGGCCACUUCGGUGGUACUCGAGCGGCGAACGGGUGAGUAACACGUGAGUAAUCUGCCCCUGGCUUUGGGAUAGCCACCGGAAACGGUGAUUAAUACCGGAUACGACCACUUCUCGCAUGGGAUGGUGGUGGAAAGUUUUUCGGCCAGGGAUGUGCUCGCGGCCUAUCAGCUUGAUGGUGAGGUAAUGGCUCACCAUGGCUUCGACGGGUAGCCGGCCUGAGAGGGUAACCGGUCACACUGGGACGGAGACACGGCCCAGACUCCUACGGGAGGCAGCAGUGGGGAAUAUUGGACAAGGGGCGGAAGCCUGAUCCAGCAACGCCGCGUGAGGGAUGACGGCCUUCGGGUUGUAAACCGCUUUCAGCAGGGACGAAGCGCAAGUGACGGUACCUGCAGAAGAAGCACCGGCCAACUACGUGCCAGCCGCCGCCGUAACAC
rnacentral:rRNA from 1 species